UUAAGCGACUAAGCGUACACGGUGGAUGCCCUGGCAGUCAGAGGCGAUGAAGGACGUGCUAAUCUGCGAUAAGCGUCGGUAAGGUGAUAUGAACCGUUAUAACCGGCGAUUUCCGAAUGGGGAAACCCAGUGUGAUUCGUCACACUAUCAUUAACUGAAUCCAUAGGUUAAUGAGGCGAACCGGGGGAACUGAAACAUCUAAGUACCCCGAGGAAAAGAAAUCAACCGAGAUUCCCCCAGUAGCGGCGAGCGAACGGGGAGCAGCCCAGAGCCUGAAUCAGUGUGUGUGUUAGUGGAAGCGUCUGGAAAGGCGCGCGAUACAGGGUGACAGCCCCGUACACAAAAAUGCACAUACUGUGAGCUCGAUGAGUAGGGCGGGACACGUGGUAUCCUGUCUGAAUAUGGGGGGACCAUCCUCCAAGGCUAAAUACUCCUGACUGACCGAUAGUGAACCAGUACCGUGAGGGAAAGGCGAAAAGAACCCCGGCGAGGGGAGUGAAAAAGAACCUGAAACCGUGUACGUACAAGCAGUGGGAGCCUCUUUAUGGGGUGACUGCGUACCUUUUGUAUAAUGGGUCAGCGACUUAUAUUCUGUAGCAAGGUUAACCGAAUAGGGGAGCCGAAGGGAAACCGAGUCUUAACUGGGCGUUAAGUUGCAGGGUAUAGACCCGAAACCCGGUGAUCUAGCCAUGGGCAGGUUGAAGGUUGGGUAACACUAACUGGAGGACCGAACCGACUAAUGUUGAAAAAUUAGCGGAUGACUUGUGGCUGGGGGUGAAAGGCCAAUCAAACCGGGAGAUAGCUGGUUCUCCCCGAAAGCUAUUUAGGUAGCGCCUCGUGAAUUCAUCUCCGGGGGUAGAGCACUGUUUCGGCAAGGGGGUCAUCCCGACUUACCAACCCGAUGCAAACUGCGAAUACCGGAGAAUGUUAUCACGGGAGACACACGGCGGGUGCUAACGUCCGUCGUGAAGAGGGAAACAACCCAGACCGCCAGCUAAGGUCCCAAAGUCAUGGUUAAGUGGGAAACGAUGUGGGAAGGCCCAGACAGCCAGGAUGUUGGCUUAGAAGCAGCCAUCAUUUAAAGAAAGCGUAAUAGCUCACUGGUCGAGUCGGCCUGCGCGGAAGAUGUAACGGGGCUAAACCAUGCACCGAAGCUGCGGCAGCGACACUAUGUGUUGUUGGGUAGGGGAGCGUUCUGUAAGCCUGUGAAGGUGUGCUGUGAGGCAUGCUGGAGGUAUCAGAAGUGCGAAUGCUGACAUAAGUAACGAUAAAGCGGGUGAAAAGCCCGCUCGCCGGAAGACCAAGGGUUCCUGUCCAACGUUAAUCGGGGCAGGGUGAGUCGACCCCUAAGGCGAGGCCGAAAGGCGUAGUCGAUGGGAAACAGGUUAAUAUUCCUGUACUUGGUGUUACUGCGAAGGGGGGACGGAGAAGGCUAUGUUGGCCGGGCGACGGUUGUCCCGGUUUAAGCGUGUAGGCUGGUUUUCCAGGCAAAUCCGGAAAAUCAAGGCUGAGGCGUGAUGACGAGGCACUACGGUGCUGAAGCAACAAAUGCCCUGCUUCCAGGAAAAGCCUCUAAGCAUCAGGUAACAUCAAAUCGUACCCCAAACCGACACAGGUGGUCAGGUAGAGAAUACCAAGGCGCUUGAGAGAACUCGGGUGAAGGAACUAGGCAAAAUGGUGCCGUAACUUCGGGAGAAGGCACGCUGAUAUGUAGGUGAAGCGACUUGCUCGUGGAGCUGAAAUCAGUCGAAGAUACCAGCUGGCUGCAACUGUUUAUUAAAAACACAGCACUGUGCAAACACGAAAGUGGACGUAUACGGUGUGACGCCUGCCCGGUGCCGGAAGGUUAAUUGAUGGGGUUAGCGGUAACGCGAAGCUCUUGAUCGAAGCCCCGGUAAACGGCGGCCGUAACUAUAACGGUCCUAAGGUAGCGAAAUUCCUUGUCGGGUAAGUUCCGACCUGCACGAAUGGCGUAAUGAUGGCCAGGCUGUCUCCACCCGAGACUCAGUGAAAUUGAACUCGCUGUGAAGAUGCAGUGUACCCGCGGCAAGACGGAAAGACCCCGUGAACCUUUACUAUAGCUUGACACUGAACAUUGAGCCUUGAUGUGUAGGAUAGGUGGGAGGCUUUGAAGUGUGGACGCCAGUCUGCAUGGAGCCGACCUUGAAAUACCACCCUUUAAUGUUUGAUGUUCUAACGUUGGCCCCUGAUCGGGGUUGCGGACAGUGUCUGGUGGGUAGUUUGACUGGGGCGGUCUCCUCCUAAAGAGUAACGGAGGAGCACGAAGGUUGGCUAAUCCUGGUCGGACAUCAGGAGGUUAGUGCAAUGGCAUAAGCCAGCUUGACUGCGAGCGUGACGGCGCGAGCAGGUGCGAAAGCAGGUCAUAGUGAUCCGGUGGUUCUGAAUGGAAGGGCCAUCGCUCAACGGAUAAAAGGUACUCCGGGGAUAACAGGCUGAUACCGCCCAAGAGUUCAUAUCGACGGCGGUGUUUGGCACCUCGAUGUCGGCUCAUCACAUCCUGGGGCUGAAGUAGGUCCCAAGGGUAUGGCUGUUCGCCAUUUAAAGUGGUACGCGAGCUGGGUUUAGAACGUCGUGAGACAGUUCGGUCCCUAUCUGCCGUGGGCGCUGGAGAACUGAGGGGGGCUGCUCCUAGUACGAGAGGACCGGAGUGGACGCAUCACUGGUGUUCGGGUUGUCAUGCCAAUGGCACUGCCCGGUAGCUAAAUGCGGAAGAGAUAAGUGCUGAAAGCAUCUAAGCACGAAACUUGCCCCGAGAUGAGUUCUCCCUGACCCUUUAAGGGUCCUGAAGGAACGUUGAAGACGACGACGUUGAUAGGCCGGGUGUGUAAGCGCAGCGAUGCGUUGAGCUAACCGGUACUAAUGAACCGUGAGGCUUAACCUU
rnacentral:rRNA from 1 species